rnacentral:rRNA from 1 species
UACAGAGGUCUCAAGCGUUGUUCGGAUUCAUUGGGCGUAAAGGGUGUGUAGGUGGCGCCGUAAGUCGGGUGUGAAAUUUCGGAGCUUAACUCCGAAACUGCAUUCGAUACUGCGGUGCUUGAGGACUGGAGAGGAGACUGGAAUUCAUGGUGUAGCAGUGAAAUGCGUAGAGAUCAUGAGGAAGACCAGUGGCGAAGGCGGGUCUCUGGGCAACAACUGACGCUGAGGAGCGAAAGCGUGGGGAGCGAACAGG